rnacentral:rRNA from 1 species
UGGUAGUAAUUAAUUAAACCAAAAUAAUAUGGCGGCAUUCCUUCUGAUUAGAGGAACCUGUUUUUUAAUCGACAAUACACGAUAAUUCUCUCUUGAAUUUAUAUUUUAUAUACCGCCGUCUUUAGAAUAAAUUUACUAAUUUUAUUCGAAAUUACUUUAAAGGGGGGUAGGUAAAGGUGUAGACAAUAUUUCAGAAAAAAUGUGUUACAUUAAACCAUAUUUAAGGAAUUUUUCUCAAACAAGACUCGGAAAAAGGAUUUAACAGUAACAUUAAAUUAAUAAUUUAACGCGAAAAAGAAAAGAAUGUGU